ACCAGACUCCUACGGGAGGCAGCAGUGGGGGAUAUUGCACAAUGGGGGGAACCCUGAUGCAGCGACGCCGCGUGGGUGAAGAAGCGCCUCGGCGCGUAAAGCCCUGUCAGCAGGGAAGAAAAUGACGGUACCUGAAGAAGAAGCCCCGGCUAACUACGUGCCAGCAGCCGCGGUAAUACGUAGGGGGCAAGCGUUAUCCGGAUUUACUGGGUGUAAAGGGGGCGCAGACGGCGAUGCAAGCCAGGAGUGAAAGCCCGGGGCCCAACCCCGGGACUGCUCUUGGAACUGCGUGGCUGGAGUGCAGGAGGGGCAGGCGGAAUUCCUGGUGUAGCGGUGAAAUGCGUAGAUAUCAGGAGGAACACCGGUGGCGAAGGCGGCCUGCUGGACUGCAACUGACGUUGAGGCCCGAAAGCGUGGGGAGCAAACAGGAUUAGAUACCCCUGUAGCU
rnacentral:rRNA from 1 species